AGUGAACGCUGGCGGUAGGCCUAACACAUGCAAGUCGAACGGCAGCACAGGAGAGCUUGCUCUCUGGGUGGCGAGUGGCGGACGGGUGAGGAAUACAUCGGAAUCUACCUUUUCGUGGGGGAUAACGUAGGGAAACUUACGCUAAUACCGCAUACGACCUACGGGUGAAAGUGGGGGACCGCAAGGCCUCACGCGAUUAGAUGAGCCGAUGGCCGAUUAGCUAGUUGGCGGGGUAAUGGCCCACCAAGGCGACGACCGGUAGCUGGUCUGAAAGCAUAGUCAGCCACACUGGAAGUGAGACACGGUCCAGACUCCUACGGGAGGCAGCAGUGGGAAAUAUUGGACAAUGGGCGCAAGCCUGAUCCAGCCAUACCGCGGGGGUGAAGAAGGCCUUCGGGUUGUAAAGCCCUUUUGUUGGGAAAGAAAUCCUGUCGAUUAAUACUCGGUGGGGAUGACGGUACCCAAAGAAUAAGCACCGGCUAACUUCGUGCCAGCCGCCGCAGUAAUAC
rnacentral:rRNA from 1 species